CCUAGUAAGAGACAUUAUUGUUCCAUUAAAUGAGAAAAAGUAUGAAUAAGUGCAACAGAAGUCCUUAGUAUUUUAAUCAUCAUGAAUAAUUGGAACAAAAGUCCUUCGUAUUUUAAUUAUGAAUUUCACUUCAUUCAACAAAGCUUAUUUAUGAAAUUAGUAAAUUUCAACAUAUUGUUUAUGUUAACAUCAAUUUCAUAAGCAAUAUUUCAACAUAUUGUUUAUUUUAACAUCAAUUUCAUACAAAUUAUUAUCAGACAUAUUGAUUGGUGGGAUAUAAAAGGGUUUUAGAAAGAACCAAUCCACUUGGGAUAUGAGAAGAUACAAAAUUAAAACGACAUUUGGAAACAUGAGUGAUUACGAAAAUAAAUGUCUAUUUCUCUGACCCUUGAGAUCCCAGCUACGGUUUAUUCUUAGAGCAAAGGUAAACGAUUUUGAAACAAAAACUAGGCAUUUACGGAAUAUAAACAUGUAACUUUGGAUCACCGUCAUUACUUUGCAAAUGUUCCUGCGUCCACAAUGAAGAUCACAUGAGCGUUAACAGGGAAUGUGAUAAAGAAUUGUUUUGAUACGUCAUAAAAUAAAUAUAGCAUGCUAAAUAUUGAUAUUUCCCCCAAAACAUCAUCUUAAUCAACUAGACUUGCAUAUUUUAUUGUAACUUCUCUGACAAAAGGUUGGCAUCUUUUCUCUUUUUUCAAAUACAAUUUCCAAUUUUGAAUUAGAAACUGGUAAGAAUAUUAAUUUGUGUAUUUAUAACAUUACAAACUAGAAUAAUAACUUGACUAAUAUUAAUAAAUAACUGAAAUGAAUUGCAUAAUAAAAAAAAAAAGUUGUACCUCAGUGGUUUUCUAGUUUGAUAUAGAUAUUAAUAAUAACGGGACUAGUAUUGAUAAAUAACUAAAACAAAUUGCACUAUCAUUAAAAAAAAAAAAAUGGCUGUACCAUAGCGGUUUUCUAGUUUGAUAUAGAUAUUAAUCUAAGAACACUACUCAUUUAAGUAGCAAGAAGUAUUGUGUAUCACGGCCAAAUCUACUUUGCUUAAUUAGGGUGGUUAUCCUAAGCACAGGUUGUGAUAUCAACAUUACUUUCACAAAAAAAGGCAUAUAAAUGAUGAGUACACUUGUUUACAAGUGAAAUUCUAUCCCAGUAAAAUGACACUAAGGGUAAAAGGAAUCAAUUAACGGAAAACAACUUCCAAUAGACUAUAAAACAACUUUCUGUAGCAUCUUUGAGGCACAUCUUCAAUAAUUCUGCAUCCUCAGUAGAACUUCAAAAAAUAACCAGUCAUAAUCAAUCACCUUAAUAGAAAUGUUUACCUAAUAGUAAUGUGAAAAAAUCAUGCCAAUAAAUCGAAAGCAAAUCAAUACCACAUGGAACUCAAUCAACAUAAUUUUAAUUCAAAAUGGAGACAUAGAACUAGAUCUCAAGUACAAAAGUCUAUGGUUAUGGUGCAAGAAUGAGGACUUUUCUGAAAUCAACCGAACUUUAGAUGCAUGAUUCAAUGCUUGAACAUUUAUAACAUACUUAAAAGUUGGAAAUCAGCAGCGACUAGACUCUGUGCAGCAACAAAUAUUUUUCAAUCACAUACAUGCACAUUCACCUGAGAGUACGCAUCCAUGUUUCAUACACAUUUCUUAAGGAAACAAGCCAAUGUCUAGAUAAAAGAUGAACCAUAAAAGAGUGUACAAGUGCACAAAUUAUCCCAGAAGAAUUCAAACGCUGUUCUCAUGCUUUAAAAACUGACUUGACACUCCUUGGAAUAGCCUCAUUUAAUAUACACACCCAAAAAGGUAAUCCAGUAAAAAAAAAAAAAAUAGUGAAAGCAGUUAAAUGAAAUGAAUUGAAAAAACAAACAAUAAUAUUUUCUUUUCAAUCCUUAACAUUGAAUAUGAACUGAAAAUAUAGUCAACAACAGCUUAGAAGUUAGAAGGAAGUAGCUUUUUGUCACAAAAAAAACAGGGCAUCUAUUCACAUGAAGCAGCCCACCUGUAAAGGACAAUAACCCAUCCUAUCUACUGUAAAGUUCACUAAAACAUGGUGCAUAAUCUUAAAACAGCUCACUUGUUAUUACCAUAGACUUUCUAAAAGCCCACUAAUGUUUUUUCAGCCAGGCAAAGGGAUAAGAAAACUAACGGUAAAGCCAAUUUGACGGUAUAAAGAGAGUCUUAAAUUGGAAAAAGUUCUUCACAACCAAAGUAUAUCUAAACUCAAGCUCUAUCUCGCUCACCCACAAAGAAAAUCACAACUAUGAUAUCCAAAUAAUUCCUUUCUCAUUUCAUCAUGUAAAUGGCAUACAAAGACGUGAGAAUUCAAAUUUAGACAAUUGAUAAUUACCCAAAACCACAGCAUGUGCACCUCAUAACCCACAAUUUUUAACCAAACCUAACUGAUCCCCAAAAUAUAUUAGUAAAUUAAUUAACAAUAUAUAUAUAUAUAAUAGGAUUCUUUUUCAAUUUCUUUAUAAUAUUUACUACUUUACGUAAAAGUAGAAUGAAUAGUGAAAAUUAUAAUUACUAGUAAGGAGUGGUGGGAGCAAACUCUGUCCAUCUAAGUCUCGAGCCUUGCCACUUCAGAAUUCUAACAAUAAAGCAGUUAGCUUUAGCAAUCUAAUUGAUGAAAUGAAAAUUAAAUACCUGUAAAUAUAGCAGUGACUUACUAGAGGGAGUGAAGCUUCAAUUGACAGUGAAAGCUAAGGUUUCAAUUUCGGCAACUGUGAUUUUGUUCUUCUUUCAUGGCAAGAGAUUGGGUUUCUUUCAGCUAUCAAAAGUGUCGUGGCUAUUAUUCUCAUUUCGAUUUGGGUUUCGUCAAGACUAGUUUCACUGGAGCAAAGAGAGAUGAUUGAGUGACAAUGUCAAAUAUGUAGGGCAUUGAAAAUAGCAGCGAUAAUGAUAGUCAUUGAGAAUAGCGUCGAACUGCGAGUGUUUGG
rnacentral:lncRNA from 1 species